CUACGGGGGGCUCCAGUGGGGAAUAUUGCACAAUGGGCGCAAGCCUGAUGCAGCAACGCCGCGUGAGGGAUGAAGGCCUUCGGGUUGUAAACCUCUGUCAGAAGGGAAGAAGUGCAUAGGGUCCAAUAGGCCUUAUGUUUGACGGUACCUUCAGAGGAAGCACCGGCUAACUCCGUGCCAGCAGCCGCGGUAAUACGGAGGGUGCAAGCGUUAUUCGGAAUUACUGGGCGUAAAGCGUACGUAGGCGGCGAGGUAAGUCAGGUGUGAAAUCCCACGGCUCAACCGUGGAACUGCACUUGAAACUGCUUUGCUCGAGUACUGGAGGGGAUGGCGGAAUUCCUGGUGUAGGAGUGAAAUCCGUAGAUAUCAGGAGGAACACCGGUGGCGAAGGCGGCCAUCUGGACAGUAACUGACGCUGAGGUACGAAAGCGUGGGGAGCAAACAGGAUUAGAUACCCGGGUAGUC
rnacentral:rRNA from 1 species